rnacentral:rRNA from 1 species
AUUGAACGCUGGCGGCAGGCCUAACACAUGCAAGUCGAACGGUAACAGGAAGCAGCUUGCUGCUUCGCUGACGAGUGGCGGACGGGUGAGUAAUGUCUGGGAAGCUGCCUGAUGGAGGGGGAUAACUACUGGAAACGGUAGCUAAUACCGCAUAAUGUCGCAAGACUAAAGAGGGGGACCUUCGGGCCUCUUGCCAUCGUAUGUGCCCGGCUGGGAUUAGCUUGUUGGUGGGGUUACGGCUCCCCAAGGCGACGAUCCCUAGCUGGUCUGAGAGGAUGACCGGCCACCCUGGAACUGAGACACGGUCCAGACUCCUACGGGAGGCAGCAGUGGGGAAUAUUGCACAAUGGGCGCAAGCCUGAUGCAGCCAUGCCGCGUGUAUGAAGAAGGCCUUCGGGUUGUAAAGUACUUUCAGCGGGGAGGAAGGGAGUAAAGUUAAUACCUUUGCUCAUUGACGUUACCCGCAGAAGAAGCUCCGGCUAACUCCGUG